UACGAAGGGGGCUAGCGUUGCUCGGAAUUACUGGGCGUAAAGCGCACGUAGGCGGCUUUCUAAGUCGGGGGUGAAAUCCUGGAGCUCAACUCCAGAACUGCCUUCGAUACUGGAGAGCUUGAGUCCGGGAGAGGUGAGUGGAACUGCGAGUGUAGAGGUGAAAUUCGUAGAUAUUCGCAAGAACACCAGUGGCGAAGGCGGCUCACUGGCCCGGUACUGACGCUGAGACGCGAAAGCGUGGGGAGCGAACAGG
rnacentral:rRNA from 1 species